rnacentral:rRNA from 1 species
UGCCGCGUGUGUGAAGAAGGCCUUCGGGUUGUAAAGCACUUUCAGCGAGGAAGAACGCCUUGGGAUUAAUACUCCCGAGGAAAGACAUCACUCGCAGAAGAAGCACCGGCUAACUCCGUGCCAGCAGCCGCGGUAAUACGGAGGGUGCAAGCGUUAAUCGGAAUUACUGGGCGUAAAGCGCGCGUAGGUGGCUAAGUCAGCCAGGUGUGAAAGCCCCGGGCUCAACCUGGGAACGGCAUCUGGAACUGCUUGGCUAGAGUGCAGGAGAGGAAGGUAGAAUUCCCGGUGUAGCGGUGAAAUGCGUAGAGAUCGGGAGGAAUACCAGUGGCGAAGGCGGCCUUCUGGACUGACACUGACACUGAGGUGCGAAAGCGUGGGUAGCAAACAGGAUUAGAUACCCUGGUAGUCCACGCCGUAAACGAUGUCAACUAGCCGUUGGGUCCCUUGAGGACUUAGUGGCGCAGCUAACGCAAUAAGUUGACCGCCUGGGGAGUACGGCCGCAAGGUUAAAACUCA